UACGUAGGGGGCUAGCGUUAUCCGGAAUUACUGGGCGUAAAGGGUGCGUAGGUGGUUUCUUAAGUCAGAGGUGAAUGGCUACGGCUCAACCGUAGUAAGCCUUUGAAACUGGGAAACUUGAGUGCAGGAGAGGAGAGUGGAAUUCCUAGUGUAGCGGUGAAAUGCGUAGAUAUUAGGAGGAACACCAGUUGCGAAGGCGGCUCUCUGGACUGUAACUGACACUGAGGCACGAAAGCGUGGGGAGCAAACAGG
rnacentral:rRNA from 1 species